rnacentral:rRNA from 1 species
GAUGAACGCUGGCGGCGUGCCUAAUACAUGCAAGUCGAGCGAACAGACGAGGAGCUUGCUCCUCUGACGUUAGCGGCGGACGGGUGAGUAACACGUGGAUAACCUACCUAUAAGACUGGGAUAACUUCGGGAAACCGGAGCUAAUACCGGAUAAUAUAUUGAACCGCAUGGUUCAAUAGUGAAAGACGGUUUUGCUGUCACUUAUAGAUGGAUCCGCGCCGCAUUAGCUAGUUGGUAAGGUAACGGCUUACCAAGGCAACGAUGCGUAGCCGACCUGAGAGGGGGAUAGGCCACAUUGGAACUGAGACAGGGACCAGACUCCUACGGGAGGCAGCAGUAGGGAAUCUUCCGCAAUGGGCGAAAGCCUGACGGAGCAACGCCGCGUGAGUGAUGAAGGUCUUCGGAUCGUAAUACUCUGUUAUUAGGGAAGAACAAAUGUGUAAGUAACUAUGCACGUCUUGACGGUACCUAAUCAGAAAGCCACGGCUAACUACGUG